rnacentral:rRNA from 1 species
CCUUGUCUUUAGUUGCUACGCAAGAGCACUCUAGAGAGACUGCCGGUGACAAACCGGAGGAAGGUGGGGAUGACGUCAAGUCCUCAUGGCCCUUAUGGGUAGGGCUUCACACGUCAUACAAUGGUGCGUACAGAGGGUUGCCAACCCGCGAGGGGGAGCUAAUCCCAGAAAACGCAUCGUAGUCCGGAUCGUAGUCUGCAACUCGACUACGUGAAGCUGGAAUCGCUAGUAAUCGCGGAUCAGCAUGCCGCGGUGAAUACGUUCCCGGGUCUUGUACACACCGCCCGUCACACCAUGGGAGUGGGUUUUGCCAGAAGUAGUUAGCCUAACCGCAAGGAGGGCGAUUACCACGGCAGGGUUCAUGACUGGGGUGAAGUCGUAACAAGGUAGCCGUAUCGGA